AGAGUUUGAUCCUGGCUCAGGACGAACGCUGGCGGUGUGCUUCACACAUGCAAGUCGAACGGAGUAGCAAUACUCAGUGGCGGACGGGUGAGUAACACGUGGGAAUCUACCAUUAGGUGGGGAAUAACAGGCCGAAAGGACUGCUAAUGCCGCAUAUGUAGGCAUCUCGACAGAGAUGUUUAUGAAAGGAGUAAUCCGCCUUUUGAUGAGCCCGCGUCCGAUUAGCUAGUUGGUAGGGUAAAAGCCUACCAAGGCGACGAUCGGUAGGUGGUCUGAGAGGAUGAUCACCCACAAUGGGACUGAGACACGGCCCAUACUCCUACGGGAGGCAGCAGUGGGGAAUUUUACGCAAUGGGGGAAACCCUGACGUAGCGACACCGCGUGAGCGAAGAAGCCCCUUGGGGUGUAAAGCUCUGUCAGCUGGAACGAAAAAAAUGACGGUACCAGCAGAGGAAGCAUCGGCUAACUACGUGCCAGCAGCCGCGGUAAGACGUAGGAUGCGAGCGUUGUCCGGAUUUAUUGGGCGUAAAGAGUUCGUAGGUGGUUUGUCAAGUCUGAUGUUAAAGAUCGGGGCUCAACCCUGGGACUGCAUUGGAUACUGGCAGACUUGAGUGUGGUAGAGGCUAGUGGAAUUCCCAGUGUAGCGGUGAAAUGCGUAGA
rnacentral:rRNA from 1 species